rnacentral:misc_RNA from 1 species
UUUUUUUUUGGUCUUACCUGAUAUAACCACUAGAAAUGGAAGAAACUUUGCAAACACCAGCUGAUGUGGUAAAUGGUAUAUCUUUAAAACAUGCCACCAGGUCUGUGUUAGUAGCCAAAUCUACCUGCAGUGUCUCCCAUACCUUCUUCUUCGGGUUCAAUACAUCGUCGGGCUCGCCUUCGAAUCCUGGGAAUUUAAUUCUUUCUCCAACAUUGGCGUCUUUGGGUGGCUCAACUAAUUCCACCUUGGUAUGAUCGCUAUUGGAAGCAGCAAGAACCAUGGCUUGAGAUUUAAUGCCCCUCAUGGCUGCCGGCUUCAAGUUGCAAAGAACACACACCUUCCGGUUCUGCAUCUCUUCAAGAGGUAUGUACUUGACUAAUCCACUGACAACGGUUCGAGGUUGCGAUUCUCCCACAUCGAUUUCCUCGACAUAUAGGGAAUCAGCAUCAGGA